AUUGAACGCUGGCGGCAGGCCUAACACAUGCAAGUCGAACGAGUGGCGGACGGGUGAGAAAUGUAUGGGACACUGCCUGAUGGAGGGGGUAAACUACUGGAAACGGUAGCUAAUACCGCAUACCCACAGAUGUGCCCCGAUGGGAUUAGCUUGUUGGUGGGGUAACGGGGCACUAGGGCGACGCUCCCUAGUUGGUCUGAGAGGAUGAACAGCCACACUGGAACUGAGACACGGUACAGACUCCUAAGAGAGGCAGCAGGGGGGAAUAUUGCACAAUGGGCGCAAGCCUGAAGAAGCCAUGCCGCGUGUAUGAAGUAGGCGUUGGGGGUGUAAAGUACUUUCAGCGGGGAGGCGGUACCCGCAGAAGAAGCACCGGCUAACUCCGUGCCAGCAGCCGCGGUAAUAC
rnacentral:rRNA from 1 species